CCUANGGGGGGCAGCAGUUUCGAAUCAUUCACAAUGGGCGAAAGCCUGAUGGUGCGACGCCGCGUGAGGGAUGAAGGUCUUCGGAUUGUAAACCUCUGUCACUGGGGAAGAACCGCUUUGAGCUCAUAGUUCAAAGCCUGACUUAACCCGGAGAGGAAGCAGUGGCUAACUCUGUGCCAGCAGCCGCGGUAAUACAGAGACUGCAAGCGUUAUUCGGAUUCACUGGGCGUAAAGGGUGCGCAGGCGGCUAUGUGUGUGAGGUGUGAAAGCCCGGGGCUUAACCCCGGAAUUGCACCUCAAACUACAUGGCUAGAGCAUUGGAGAGGGUAGCAGAAUUCAUGGUGUAGCAGUGAAAUGCGUAGAUAUCAUGAGGAAUACCAGAGGCGAAGGCGGCUACCUGGACAAUUGCUGACGCUCAGGCACGAAAGCGUGGGGAGCAAAAGGGAUUAGAUACCCUGNUANUC
rnacentral:rRNA from 1 species